AACGAACGCUGGCGGCGCGCCUAAUACAUGCAAGUCGAGCGAGAAGACGUAGCAAUACGUUUGUAAAGCGGCGAACGGGUGAGGAAUACAUGGGUAACCUACCCUCGAGGUGGGGAAUAACUAGACCGAAAGGUUAGCUAAUACCGCGUACGCUCCUUGGACUUCGGUUCAGGGAGGAAAGCGAUACCGUGGGUAUCGCGCUCUUGGAUGGGCUCAUGUCCUAUCAGCUUGUUGGUGAGGAACGGCUCACCAAGGCUUCGACGGGUAGCUGGUCUGAGAGGACGAUCAGCCACACUGGCACUGCGACACGGGCCAGACUCCGUACGGGAGCAGCAGUAAGGAAUAUUGCGCAAUGGGCGAAAGCCUGACGCAGCGACCGCCGCGGUGGGGGA
rnacentral:rRNA from 1 species